rnacentral:rRNA from 1 species
CCUACGGGAGGCAGCAGUGGGGGAUAUUGCACAAUGGGGGAAACCCUGAUGCAGCGACGCCGCGUGGGUGAAGAAGCGCCUCGGCGCGUAAAGCCCUGUCAGCAGGGAAGAAAAUGACGGUACCUGACGAAGAAGCCCCGGCUAACUACGUGCCAGCAGCCGCGGUAAUACGUAGGGGGCAAGCGUUAUCCGGAUUUACUGGGUGUAAAGGGGGCGCAGACGGCGAUGCAAGCCAGGAGUGAAAGCCCGGGGCCCAACCCCGGGACUGCUCUUGGAACUGCGUGGCUGGAGUGCAGGAGGGGCAGGCGGAAUUCCUGGUGUAGCGGUGAAAUGCGUAGAUAUCGGGAGGAACACCGGUGGCGAAGGCGGCCUGCUGGACUGCAACUGACGUUGAGGCCCGAAAGCGUGGGGAGCAAACAGGAUUAGAUACCCCAGUAGUC